rnacentral:rRNA from 1 species
CGAACGACUCUCAGCAAUGGAUAUCUCGGUUCUUGCAUCGAUGAAGAAUGUAGCGAAAUGCGAUACCUGGUGUGAAUUGUAGAAUCUCGCGAACCACCGAGUCUUUGAAUGCAAGUUGCGCUCGAGGCCACCCGGUCGAGGGCACGCCUGCCUGGGCAUCACGC